GGAUAUUUUUUUUACUUCAGUUAAACUCAUUUUUACUAUAUAGAAAGUUGAGUGUGAAACGAUCAAGGACAAAAUAGUCAUUUUAUUUCAUGGUAAAUGAGUUCCAAAACAAUCUACCUUUUCAAUCAUCACUAUCACUCAUCUUCACUCUUCAAUAUUCAUGGAUGGCUUCUCAUCUGGGUUAAUGUUGUAGCUGAUAGAUUAUCGUUGAAUCUCGGUCUAUUCUCCUAAGUGAAUCUAUGUCGCUCGUACUUGAAUGUGGAUCUAGAGGUUGAAUUCUUCAUGAUCUAAAUUUUAACAUUCAGGGGUACAGAUAUGGGAGCAAGGAUUCAACUAAAAAUAAUUCAAAUAUCUAAAAAUAUGGUUUAUGUUUAAAUUAUUAGACAUGUGAAAAACGAAGAAGGUGUUAUGAGGAAAAUAUAUUGAACAAGAGGAGAAUCCUAGAAGCUGAUACAAGGAAAGCGACUGACAUAGAAAUUUCUAUAUACAAGAUCAAUUGACCAUAUUCGGUAGGGAUCUUAUACUCACACUCAUGUCAUGUCUACACGGAUGUGGCAUCGAAAGUGAAGAGUCCAAGCAACUUAGAAUUGAAUUGUUCAAGCAUUUUUGCAGAAAGAGGCUGCAUUUUUUGUCUGAAGAUCUGUAUGGUGUGGACUCUCUCAAAGAUCAUAAGGAAAUUUAUCAUCUAACCACUCCUCGACCUACUGUGAGUGGAUGAAUUUUCUUUCUGAAUGAAUUCACAGGAAUCAGUUACUUGCUUAUUCGAAAUCUAAUUGAAUGUAAUGAAAUUUUUAUAUAAAAGGAUAGAGCAUUUAGAGCAUGUCAAAGUAAAAUCAUGAUUAUUUUGAUAAGAAUGAAAAUUCUCAAAGUUGAGGCUCUUGAAGGGUAAUCAUUAAUAUGUAGCUAUGUAAAUAAUUAUUAUCGUUCUUCUGUUGUACUCAGAUAUAUGCAUAAUGUAGUAUGCUAUAUUGGUAUAGUAACAAGUUUUCUUUUUCUUUC